AGCGCAGGUGGUUGUAUAAGUCUGAAGUAAAAGGCAGUGGCUCAACCAUUGUGUGCUUUGGAAACUGUACAACUUGAGUGCAGAAGGGGAGAGUGGAAUUCCAUGUGUAGCGGUGAAAUGCGUAGAUAUAUGGAGGAACACCGGUGGCGAAAGCGGCUCUCUGGUCUGUAACUGACACUGAGGCUGAAAGCGUGGGGAGCAAACA
rnacentral:rRNA from 1 species